UACGUAGGGUGCGAGCGUUGUCCGGAAUUAUUGGGCGUAAAGAGCUCGUAGGCGGCUUGUCGCGUCGGAUGUGAAAGCCCGGGGCUUAACUCCGGGUCUGCAUUCGAUACGGGCUGGCUAGAGUGUGGUAGGGGAGAUCGGAAUUCCUGGUGUAGCGGUGAAAUGCGCAGAUAUCAGGAGGAACACCGGUGGCGAAGGCGGAUCUCUGGGCCGAUACUGACGCUGAGGAGCGAAAGCGUGGGGAGCGAACAGG
rnacentral:rRNA from 1 species